UGCUUUAUCAGUUCUGGAGUUAACUCAGGCCUCAGCUUCUAGUGGCAGAUUGCUUCUAGCAUUCUACUAUUUUGGUACUCCACUUCAUCGUGUAUCUGGAUUGUACUCAGCCUGAAUAUUAGCUUAUAUCUGUGAGCGGUCUCACGGAAUAUAUUGGCUAGGUUCAUCUGGCUUAGUGCUGAAGUGUUAAUGAGUAGCACAGGCAGUAUUGUGUUUGAAGGUGAUCAAGGCAAGUCAUUGCAAUCACUGUUGUUGGGUUAUAAGACUUGUCAAUCUGAGAUAUAAAAGUCGACUUAUUGGAUCUGGUGCAUUUCAGGAAUUUAUUUCGUUGAAGUUAUUCUUAGGGAAGUUCUUCCCAUGAGGUAGCUGGAGCUAUAAAAUAUCUUGUGGUUCACAAGCAAAAUGCUAUAUAAUUGGAAGAAGCCUCACAUUAUUUUCUCUACAGUGCUUGAGGUUGUUUAUGUUGCAAUAUAACUAGCAAUUAUGGAACAACUAUCAGAGAAAAAGUUCCC
rnacentral:lncRNA from 1 species